rnacentral:tRNA from 1 species
CGGGCUGUGGCGCAGCUUGGUAGCGCACCUGCUUUGGGAGCAGGGGGUCGUCGGUUCAAAUCCGGCCAGCCCGA